rnacentral:rRNA from 1 species
GACGAACGCUGGCGGCGUGCUUAACACAUGCAAGUCGAACGGAAAGGCCCUGCUUUUGUGGGGUGCUCGAGUGGCGAACGGGUGAGUAACACGUGAGUAACCUGCCCUUGACUUUGGGAUAACUUCAGGAAACUGGGGCUAAUACCGGAUAGGAGCUCCUGCUGCAUGGUGGGGGUUGGAAAGUUUCGGCGGUUGGGGAUGGACUCGCGGCUUAUCAGCUUGUUGGUGGGGUAGUGGCUUACCAAGGCUUUGACGGGUAGCCGGCCUGAGAGGGUGACCGGGCACAGUGGGACGGAGAGACGGCCGAGACGCCGACGGGAGGCAGAAGUGGGGAAUAUGGCAGAAGGGGCGGAGGCAGGAUGCAGCAACGGCGCGUGCGGGAUGACGGCAUUCGGGUUGUAAAAAGGUGUCGCCUGUGACGAAGAGUGAGUGAGGGUAAUGGGUAAAGAAGCAAAGGCUAACUACGUG